CGGGGGUACACGAGCAGCGAACGGGUGAGUAACGCGUGGGUAAUCUACCUAGAGGUGGGGGAUAGCCUCGGGAAACCGGGGGUAAUACCGCAUGAGUCCUUUCCAACAUAAGUUGGAUUGGGGAAAGGCGGGGAUCUUAGGACCUGUCGCCUCUAGAUGAGCCCGCGUCCGAUUAGCUUGUUGGUGGGGUAAUGGCCUACCAAGGCAUCGAUCGGUAGCCGGCCUGAGAGGGUGAACGGCCACAUUGGGACUGAGACACGGCCCAGACUCCUACGGGAGGCAGCAGUGGGGAAUUUUGGGCAAUGGGGGAAACCCUGACCCAGCGACGCCGCGUGGAGGAUGAAGGCCUUCGGGUUGUAAACUCCUGUCAGGUGGGAAGAAGAGCUUUGUGGCUAAUAUCCACAAGGAAUUGACGGUACCACCAAAGGAAGCCCCGGCUAACUCCGUGCCAGCAGCCGCGGUAAUACGGGGGGGGCAAGCGUUAUUCGGAUUUACUGGGCGUAAAGCGCACGUAGGUGGCGAUGUAAGUCACAGGUGAAAGCCCUCGGCUCAACCGAGGAACUGCCUGCGAAACUGCAUUGCUUGAGUCCG
rnacentral:rRNA from 1 species